rnacentral:rRNA from 1 species
CGUGUAGGCGGGUUAUCAAGUCAGAUGUGAAAUUCCAUGGCUCAACUGUGGCGCUGCAUCUGAAACUGAUGAUCUUGAGUGAUGGAGAGGAAAGUGGAAUUCCUAGUGUAGCGGUGAAAUGCGUAGAUAUUAGGAGGAACACCAGUGGCGAAGGCGACUUUCUGGACAUUAACUGACGCUGAGGCGCGAAAGCGUGGGGAGCAAACAGGAUUAGAUACCCUGGUAGUCCACGCUGUAAACGAUGGAUACUAGGUGUAGGAGGUAUCGACCCCUUCUGUGCCGGAGUUAACACAAUAAGUAUCCCACCUGGGGAGUACGGCCGCAAGGUUGAA